CGCCUUAUAUUGUAUUUUCUCUAUUUCAAGUUAUGCUGAUUUGAAUAUUUGUGUAAUAAGUAGUGACUGUUUUGCAUUUGUUUUGUUUUGCGAGGACUAAUGACAUUGACUAUCGGGCUAAACUUCAACCACAAAUUAUUUAGGUAUUAUUUGACAAUGCUUUAUGUUGAACUUUGUUUAUUUCAAGUUAUGCUGAUUUGAAUUUUUGAGUAAUGAGUAGUGACUGUUUUGCAUUUAUUGUGUUGUGCGUGAACUGAUGCUAUUACCAAGUACUCUCAAAUACAUAUCUCCACGCCUUUAAAUAUUGAGGUACGUAACAAACAUUUGAAAUUGUAUAUUUAUUUUGGACAAUAAUUAACUUGAGCCUUGAAAAUUCCGGGUUCAUUUCAAGCUCAAGUUAAUUAGGUUAUGUAGACAACGCCUAAUUGUAUUUUCUCUAUUUCCAUAUGCUGAUUUAAAUAUUUGUGUAAUAAGUAGUGACUGUUUUCAUUUGUUUUGUUUUGCGAGGACCUAAUGACAUUGACUAUCGGGCUAAACCUUCACCACAACUUAUUAGGUAAUUAUUGACAUGCUUUAUGUGGAACUUUGUUUAUUUCAAGUUAUGCUGAUUUGAAUUUUUGAGUAAUGAGUAUUGACUUUUGCAUUUAUUGUGUUGUGCUUGAAACUGAUGCUAUACCAAUACUCUCAAAUACAAUCUCCACUCCUUUAAAUAUUGAGGUACGUCACAACAUUUGAAUUGGUAUAUUUAAUUUUGGACAAUAAUUAACUUGACGCUUGAAAUUUCCCGGGUUUAAUUUCAGCUCAGUUUAAUUAGGUUAUUCAGACAACGCCUUAUAUUGUAUUUUCUCUAUUCAGUUAUGCUGAUUGAAUAUUUGGUGUAAUAAGUUUGACUGUUUUGCUUUUGUUUGUUUGUCGAGGACUAAUGACUUGACUAUCGGCUAAAUUUCAACCACAAAUUAUUUACGUAUUAUUGACAAUGCUUUAUGUUGAACUUUAUUUAUUCAGUUAUGCUAUUUGAAUUUUUGAGUAAUGAGUAGUGACUGUUUUGCAUUUAUUGUGGGUGUUCGUAACUGAGGCUAUUACCAAUACUCUCCAAUAGGCCUUUAAAUAUUGAGGUACGUAACAAACAUUUGAAAUUGUAUAUUUAUUUUGGACAAUAAUUAUUUGAUCUGAAAUUUCCCGGGUUCAUUUCAAACUCAGUUAAUUAGGUAAUGUAGACAACGCCUAUAUUGUAUUUUCUUCAUUUCAAGUUAUGCGGAUUUGAUAUUUGUGUAAUAGUAGUGACUAUUUGCAUUUGUUUUAUUUGCGAGGACUAAUGACAUUUACUUGGUGAUACUUCACCUCAAAUUAUUAGGGUAUUAUUGACAUGCUUUAUGUGUACUUUGUUUAUUUCAAGUUAUUGCUGAUUUGAAUUUUUGAGUAUGAGUCGUGACUGUUUUGGCAUUAUUGGGUUGUGCGAGAACUGAUGCUAUUACCAAGUACUCCUCAACUACAAUAUCUCCACGCCUUUAAAUUUGAGGUACGUAACAAACAUUUGAAAUGGUAUCUUUAUUUUGACAAUAAUUAACUUGAGCUUGAAAUUCCCGGGUUCAAUUUCAAGCUCAAGUUAAUUUAGUUUAUGUAGAUAACAUCCGUAUAUUGUAGGUUCUCUAUUUCAAGUUAGGCUGAUUGAAUAUUUGUGUAAUAAUUAGUGACUGUUUGGCAUUUGUUUUGUUUUGCUAGGACUAAUGACAUUUCUAUCGGGUACUUCAACACAAUAUUUAGGGAUUAUUUUGAAUAUCUUUAAUGUUGAACUUUAUUUAUUCCAAGUUGAUGCUGAUUUGAAUUUUUGAGUAAUGAGUAGUGACUGUUUUGCAUUAUUGUUUUUGUGCGUGAACUGAUGCUAUUACCAAGUACUCUCAAUACAUUCCCACGCCUUUAAAUAUUGAGGUACGUAACAACAUUUGAAUUGUAUAUUUAUUUUGGCACAAUAAUUAAUUUUAGUUGAAAUAUCCCGGGUUCAAUUUCAACUCAAGUUAAUUGGUUCAUGUUAUACAACGUCUUAUAUUGUAUUUUCUCUAUGUCAAGUUAUGCUGAUUUUAAUAUUUUUGUAGAAGUAGUGACUGUUUUUGCUUUGUUUGUUUUGCGAUGACUAAUGACAUUGACUUUCGUGCUAAAAUUCAAUUCACUCACGAAAUUAUUUAGGGAUUAUUUGACCUGCUUUAUGUUGGUACUUUAUUUAUUCAAGUUAUGCUGAUUUGAAUUCUUUGGGUAAUGAUUCGUGACUGUUUUGCAUUUAAUUGUUUUGUUGCGAGAACUGAUGCUAUUACCAGUCCUCUCAAAUACAUAUCCCACGCCUUUAAAUAGUGAGGUUACGGUAACACAUUUGAAAAAUGUAUAUUUAGUUUGGACAAUAAUUAACUGAGCUUGACAUUUUCCAGGGUGCAAUUUCAAGCUCAAUUUAAUUAGGUUUAUGUUAAGACAACGCCUUAUAUUGUAUUUGUCCCCUCUAUUUCAAGUUAUGCUGAUUUGAAUAUUGGUGUAAUAAUUAGUGACUGUGGUUUUGCAUUUGUUUUGUGUUUGGCGAGGAGACGCAUGACAUUACUAUCGGCUAAACUUCGACCACAAAUUAUGUAGAGGUUACAUUUAACAGUUCCUUUAUGUUGAACUUUGUUUAUUUCAAGUUAUCAUUUGAAUUUUUGAUGUAAUGAUCGUGACUGUCUUUUGCAUUAUUGUGUUGUGCGAGAACUGAUGCUAUUACCAAGUCACUCUCAAAGACAUAUUCCACGCCUUUAUAUGAGGUCCGUAACAAACAUUUGAAAUUGUAUAUUUAUUUUGUACAAUAAUUAACUUGAGCUUGAAAUUUCCCGGGUUCAAUUUCAACUCAAGUUAUUAGGUUAUGUUAGACAACGCCUUAUAUUGUAUUUUCUCUAUGUCAGUAUGCCUUAUUGAAUAUUUGUUUAUAAGUAGGUGAUGUUUUUGCAUUUGUUUUGUUUUGCGGAGGACGAUGGACCUUGACUAUCGGGCUAAAACUUAACCACAAUUAUUAGGAAUUAUUUGACAAUACUUUAUGUUGUACUUUGGUUUAUCAAGUUAUGCUGAUUAUGAAUUUUUGCGAGGACUUAAUUGACAUUGACUAUCGGGCUAACUUCAACCACAAAUUAUUUAGGUAUUAUUUGACAAUGCUUUUAUGUGAACGUUGUUUUAUUUCAAGUUAUGCCUGAUUUGAAGUUUGAGUAAUGAAUAGUGACUGUGUUGAUUAUAUUGUGUUGUUCGAGAACUGAUCUAUUGCCUAAGUCUCUCGAAUAACAUAUCUCCACGCCUUUAAAUAUUGAGGUAACGUAACAAACAUUUGAAAUUGUAUAUUUAUUUUGGACAUACUUAACUUGAGCUUGAAAUUUCCCGGGU
rnacentral:lncRNA from 1 species